rnacentral:rRNA from 1 species
GGACCCGCACAAGCGGUGGAGUAUGUGGUUUAAUUCGAUGCAACGCGAAGAACCUUACCAGGCCUUGACAUCCUCGGAACUUUCUAGAGAUAGAUUGGUGCCUUCGGGAACGCAGUGACAGGUGCUGCAUGGCUGUCGUCAGCUCGUGUUGUGAAAUGUUGGGUUAAGUCCCGCAACGAGCGCAACCCUUAUCCUUGUUUGCCAGCACUUCGGGUGGGAACUCCAGGGAGACUGCCGGUGACAAACCGGAGGAAGGUGGGGACGACGUCAAGUCAUCAUGGCCCUUACGGCCUGGGCUACACACGUGCUACAAUGGCUAGGACAGACGGCCGCAAACCCGCGAGGGGGAGCCAAUCCGACAAACCUAGUCGUAGUCCGGAUCGGAGUCUGCAACUCGACUCCGUG